rnacentral:rRNA from 1 species
GAUGAACGCUGGCGGCGUGCCUAAUACAUGCAAGUCGAGCGAAUGGAUUAAGAGCUUGCUCUUAUGAAGUUAGCGGCGGACGGGUGAGUAACACGUGGGUAACCUGCCCAUAAGACUGGGAUAGCUCCGGGAAACCGGGGCUAAUACCGGAUAACAUUUUGAACCGCAUGGUUCGAAAUUGAAAGGCGGCUUCGGCUGUCACUUAUGGAUGGACCCGCGUCGCAUUAGCUAGUUGGUGAGGUAACGGCUCACCAAGGCAACGAUGCGUAGCCGACCUGAGAGGGUGAUCGGCCACACUGGGACAGAGACACGGCCCAGACUCCGACGGGAGGCAGCAGUAGGGAAUCUUCCGCAAUGGACGAAAGUCUGACGGAGCAACGCCGCGUGAGUGAUGAAGGCUUUCGGGUCGUAAAACUCUGUUGUUAGGGAAGAACAAGUGCUAGUUGAAUAAGCUGGCACCUUGACGGUACCUAACCAGAAAGCCACGGCUAACUACGUGCCAGCCGCCGCAGUAACAC